rnacentral:rRNA from 1 species
AUUCCAGCUCCAAUAGCGUAUAUUAAAGUUGUUGCGGUUAAAAAGCUCGUAGUUGGAUUUCUGCCGAGGAUGACCGGUCCGCCCUGUGGGUGUGCAUCUGGCUCAGCCUUGGCAUCUUCCUGAAGAACGUAGCUGCACUUGACUGUGUGGUGCGGUAUUUAGGACAUUUACUUUGAGGAAAUUAGAGUGUUUCAAGCAAGCGCACGCUUUGAAUACAUUAGCAUGGAAUAAUAAGAUACGACUAGCGUGGUCUAUUUUGUUGGUUUGCACACGCAAGUAAUGAUUAAUAGGGACAGUUGGGGGUAUUCAUAUUUGAGCGUCAGAGGUGAAAUUCUUGGAUCGCUGAAAGAUGAGCUUAGGCGAAAGCAUUUAUCAUGGAUGUUUUCAUCG